rnacentral:rRNA from 1 species
GAUGAACGCUGGCGGCGUGCUUAACACAUGCAAGUCGAGCGAAGCAGUUAAGUUGAUUUCUUCGGAUUGAUUCUUAACUGACUGAGCGGCGGACGGGUGAGUAACGCGUGGGUGACCUGCCCCAUACCGGGGGAUAACAGCUGGAAACGGCUGCUAAUACCGCAUAAGCGCACAGAGCUGCAUGGCUCGGUGUGAAAAACUCCGGUGGUAUGGGAUGGGCCCGCGUCUGAUUAGGCAGUUGGCGGGGUAACGGCCCACCAAACCGACGAUCAGUAGCCGGCCUGAGAGGGCGACCGGCCACAUUGGGACUGAGACACGGCCCAAACUCCUACGGGAGGCAGCAGUGGGGAAUAUUGCACAAUGGGGGAAACCCUGAUGCAGCGACGCCGCGUGAGCGAAGAAGUAUUUCGGUAUGUAAAGCUCUAUCAGCAGGGAAGAUAAUGACGGUACCUGACUAAGAAGCCCCGGCUAACUA